GCAUUGCAGGCAACAUUCUCAGGAAGCAAGAGCUAAGAGAGUGGAACGAACCCAACCCUACAGAGAAGUCCAUGAACCUGCUGGUGCCGUGCCCCCCCCCUCUUCUGCUUCCCCGGAACGUGGGUCUAACCGGGAAGGUCGUCCAGAGGAAAGCUCGUUUCCAGGGCCAGGCUGAGGCACAGGGGCAUCCCACGAAGAGGCAGCAGUGCCGCCCCAAGGAGUCGGCAAAGAUUCCUUUGCCUCCGAGCCACGCAGCAGCCAAGGAGCAAGAGCGUCCCACGGCUAGCGCAGCGCCUCCUGGCCCGGCCAGCACAUCGCUGCUAAAGGACGCCAGCUGUCAAACGGACUCUGCAGGCCUGCGUGUGGGUGACAUCAAAGCCAGGAGCCAGCGCCGCAGCGCAGCGCUUGCUAUCAUCUCCAAGCUGCAGCUCAGUCAGGCGGCUUUUGGGAAGCUCUCCAUGCACACGGCCAGAAAAUGCCUGGAGGUAAAGCUUCAACGCUUCCCUGUGGUAGUGCGGAGGUCCAUGCAGAAGCAGCGUGGGGCGCCCCUUGCCUGCCCAGCUGGCACCAGAGCACCGAGAUCCCAGACGGUUCGUAGAUACUUCCCCAG
ensembl:lncRNA